UACGGAGGGGGCUAGCGUUGUUCGGAAUUACUGGGCGUAAAGCGCACGUAGGCGGCUUUGUAAGUUAGAGGUGAAAGCCCGGGGCUCAACUCCGGAAUUGCCUUUAAGACUGCAUCGCUAGAAUUGUGGAAAGGUAAGUGGAAUUCCGAGUGUAGAGGUGAAAUUCGUAGAUAUUCGGAAGAACACCAGUGGCGAAGGCGACUUACUGGACACAUAUUGACGCUGAGGUGCGAAAGCGUGGGGAGCAAACAGG
rnacentral:rRNA from 1 species